rnacentral:rRNA from 1 species
CUACGGGUCGCACCAGUGGGGAAUAUUGGGCAAUGGGGGAAACCCUGAUCCAGCAAUGCCGCGUGGAGGAUGACACUUUUCGGAGCGUAAACUCCUUUUAUAUAGGAAGAAGAUGACGGUACUAUAUGAAUAAGCGCCGGCUAACUCCGUGCCAGCAGCCGCGGUAAUACGGAGGGCGCAAGCGUUACUCGGAAUCACUGGGCGUAAAGAGCGUGUAGGCGGAUUAAAAAGUCAGAAGUGAAAUCCUAUAGCUUAACUAUAGAACUGCUUCUGAAACUCUUAAUCUAGAAUAUGGGAGAGGUAGAUGGAAUUUCUGGUGUAGGGGUAAAAUCCGUAGAGAUCAGAAGGAAUACCGAUUGCGAAGGCGAUCUACUAGAACAUUACUGACGCUAAGGCGUGAAGCGUGGGGAGCAAACAGGAUUAGAUACCCUGGUAGUC